rnacentral:rRNA from 1 species
UGGGGAAUUUUGGACAAUGGGCGCAAGCCUGAUCCAGCCAUGCCGCGUGCGGGAAGAAGGCCUUCGGGUUGUAAACCGCUUUUGUCAGGGAAGAAAUCUUCUGAGUUAAUACCUCGGGAGGAUGACGGUACCUGAAGAAUAAGCACCGGCUAACUACGUGCCAGCAGCCGCGGUAAUACGUAGGGUGCAAGCGUUAAUCGGAAUUACUGGGCGUAAAGCGUGCGCAGGCGGUUUUGUAAGACAGAGGUGAAAUCCCCGGGCUCAACCUGGGAACUGCCUUUGUGACUGCAAGGCUUGAGUGCGGCAGAGGGGGGAUGGAAUUCCGCGUGUAGCAGUGAAAUGCGUAGAUAUGCGGAGGAACACCGAUGGCGAAGGCAAUCCCCUGGGCCUGCACUGACGCUCAUGCACGAAAGCGUGGGGAGCAAACAGGAUUAGAUACCCUGGUAGUCCACGCCCUAAACGAUGUCAACUGGUUGUUGGGAAGGUUCCUUCUCAGUAACGUAGCUAACGCGUGAAGUUGACCGCCUGGGGAGUACGGCCGCAAGGUUGAAACUCAAAUGAAUUGACGGGGUCA